CCUGGAGGUUUAAGAUGAAAACAGGAAGUCUGAUACAGAAGCCCAUGAGAACACAAUAGAAGAAAAGGCUCCCAAGCGCAUCGCAUAGGGCUCUCGCACAGCAGAGGAGAUCAUGCAGGACGAACGGCGGGCAGAGGAAGAAGAGGAUGGGGACCUGCUGAUGCCCCGCUUCCCGCGCUGAUCCUCCACCAAAGACACAUACAAGGCGGCGGGGUCGGCAGGAGCACGGCGGGGUCGUACAUCGCUCUGAUACACAUACAGACAAACACAGGGACCUGGGGAUAUUCGCGUGAAGAUCAGGGACCGGCUGCAGGACACACUGUCAGUGAAUAGCCAGGGAGAAGAAAUCGAGCGCUACAGUAUGGAUGGUCACCGUGUCGCCUUUUAGAGGACAGGAAGUGGACAGGAAGUGGAGUUUCGGCUGAAGCAUUCAGUAAGGAAGUCAUGGGCAUCCUGCAGAAGUUGAAAGAAAAAGAUGGAAUACAUACAGAGAAUAGUUCUUCACAACUGGACUUAUAACAUGUUUUUCUGAGACAGUCCUUCUGUCUGCUAAUUAAACGUCCAAUAAGGUAACUAUAUCAAUGGGAAAGCAGGGAAAUUUGUGCAAGCAGGCAUGUAGUGAUUGCACUAAGUUCGAAGGAUAUCAGUUAGCACUCAGUGCAGCCCUACUAAUUGUAUUUGUAGAUAUAUUCCUAAUCAAAUUUGUUCAUGGGACUCGAGUAUUAUAAAUAUUUCCAGAGUUAGCGGUCUAAGAUAUUCUGAUAAAUCAUUUGAGAUACCCAAUGCUAAUCUAUGGCUAUGUCUUUACGUUAUAAUUGAGAGAAAAUGCUGCUACUUACAUGUUGUUCGUUGUCUGCAAACCUUUCUGCACUGAUAGAUACUGAAUCUUUUAGUUUAAGCAACAGUUUUCUCCUCUUCUUUAAGCUGUAUCUGUCUUUUCUUCUUAUGAGAUUAUAAAGGUUCCUAAAAUUCAAAAAUCAGAGUAUUAAAAGUGCAUUGAUAGUCUGUAAUACCUGAAAUAAUCAUUCCAUCCCAGGUAUUUACUCAUGGAGCUCCCCAAAUAUGAAUCUCUUAGAACCUUGUAUAUUAAAUGAUUAUGUCAAUUUCUGGAACUUCCUUCAUAGUUAAAAAUUAGAUGAACCAUACCUUAUAAAAACAAACUCUUGAAAUGUC